GACGAACCGUGCAAACGUUGUUCGGAAUCGCUGGGCUUAAAGGGCGCGUAGGCGGGCAAGCAAGUCGAAGGUGAAAUCCCACGGCUCAACCGUGGAAGUGCCCCCGAUACUGCUUGUCUUGAGGGAGAUAGGGGCGUGCGGAACUUCCGGUGGAGCGGUGAAAUGCGUAGAUAUCGGAAGGAACAUCAGUGGCGAAAGCGACUUCCUGGACCAAUACUGACGCUCAUGUGCGAAAGCGUGGGGAGCAAACAGG
rnacentral:rRNA from 1 species